GGGUGAUUAGCUCAGUUGGCUAGAGCGCACGAUUCACAUUCGUGAGGUCGCUGGUUCGAGCCCAGCAUUACCCACCA
rnacentral:tRNA from 1 species